UAUCCAACAACCAGAAGGUUAUUGAAAGGCGAGAAAGGUGUGGCUGAGGCGAGCAGAACUCGAUAGUGAGCCUGGAGAGGCGUGGAAGAAAGGCGUCAGUAGAGAGAAGAGGGGGAAAGUGGCUGGAUAAGAGGUGGAUGUGGUGAGCAGAGCGCGCUGGAGUGUGGCGGCGAGUGGUUGUGUGGAGACUCUGACACACUCCACCUUCUGACGUGGAUGAUCAGAGCUUCCUCACUUUUUCCUGGAUUGUGUCGUCCGCAUAGGGUCCGGAAAGAACACUUCCGUUACAAGCAUAAUUCUUCCAGUAAGAGCUGUUUGUAUUUUCCUCAGAGAACGAGCAAAGGUGAGCAGGAUUCAUCUUUCCAGUUACUUGCAAGAUAGCAGGAGGGAGAUUAGACAAUGAGUGAUCAGCAGGUGAAGUGUAACCGAGGGCUUAAUCUUUUCCUCACCGGGAGGGCGUGUUUGUCUAAAGGACAACCAAAUAUUUCUGAGACGCUGUCGAUCAGUUAACAUGGACAGAUGCCUUCCAUGCAAGUCAAAAACAAAGUACUCGUGGGAAAAAAGAGAGGCCUGGAAUGAGUCAAGGGAUAAAUGAAAAGUGCAGUAUGUCUCAAUCAGAGGGCUGUGAGUGACUGGAUCUAAUGCAUGUCAAGUGAAAUGACUGUAAGUAGUUUUCAUAACAGAUGACAAGAUAUAGCCCUCACUGAGGAUUAUGGUAGGACAAUAUCAUGAUACAUAAGCAGAACUCCAGCACGGGGAGUUCCUGAGAGAAAGAGAAUAAAGCUCUUUAGCAUCAUGACUUACAGCCAGUAUGAUGCAUUAGCAUAUAGUGUUACUCACUCACAACUUUGAUCACAGUAGAUAAGCACACAGGAAGUCAGAGAAGUGUUAAAAUCUAACAUGCCAGGUUGAAGACCUCUUUCAGAUCCUAUUAUAACCUUUUUAUCUUCAUUUUUUUGCUCUAUAUUGUUAUCAUUUUCUGGAUGGUGUCAUCAACCACAGCCUUCUGCUUACUUUAUCACUCCAUAUCACAUCUUUCCUGUUUCUCCGUGGUCCAUUCAAUUUCAGUGAUAUCCCCACAGUGCAACAGCUAGCCACAAUCCAAUCCAGCGGUAGAAAUAUAGCCCGUUGAAAUGGACUUAAGUACCAAGAAAACCAUCACUGAUACAGACGUUUCAACAGAACUGAACAGAUUGUUUCUAGAAAGGAUAAAGCCACAUUUAUUAUUUUUUAUAUAAACUAAAUUCCACCCUAUGAAAUGUGUUGUAGGUCAUAAAGCUACACAAAUCUCUUUGUUUCAAAGUUGUUUUUAUUGAUUUUCUUUGUUCUGUUUAUCUUAUGAUCCAUCACUUGGUGUAAAUGGAUUUCGACAGUCAAGUCGGGCCCCUUCUUACAAGAGCUGUGUCAUUUCUCAGACUGACAGCCUCACCGCUUUAAGAAGAAACACCUAUUAACAUUGGCGACGCCUUGAAACGUAAACUCCUGUGAAAAUGACCAUGUUCAACAAUUUCUCCUUGCAGAUAUGUAUAAUAUUGUCACAGCAAACGCGUGGCUUGUGAUAAGAGGAAGUAUGCAUGGUACACGAUGGUAACCAUGGCGCAGUGGUUAGCAUUGUAGCCUGGGGCCCAGGGAUCAAUUCCUGGGGUGUUAUCUGCAAGGCGUUUGUAUGUCAUACUGGUAGAUUAAUUGACUUCUAAGAAGAUUGUCACUAGUAUGAGUGUCUGUGUCUGGUUGUGUGUCCUGGGAUGGAUUGGCGUCCUGUCCAGGGUGUAUCCUGCCUUGCACCUGUUGCUUGCUGGGAUAGGCUCCAGCUCCCCUGCGACCCUGUAUUUUUAAAGUGGUUAGAACCCAGAGAAACCCAUAUGAGAACAGGAAGAACAUGCAUACUCCACACAGAAGGCACACCCCAAAUCAAACCCAGACCCCAACACCGAGGCCUCAGUACUAAUCGCCGUUCCACCGUGCCAAAUAAAAUGUCAUUUUUAAUAGAGAAAAGUAUUACAUCUUGAAAGAUACAGUUGCGAAUCCUUUCAUUGUCCAUCACAGCAAAUGCUUGAAGCACUUUGAGAUGAUUCCCGGAGACAAGGUCUGUAAUAAAACCAAUGUGGCAUAAACAAAAGGCACAAUCUCAUUAAUAAAUCACAAACGAAGACACGACUGAGCGUGUGAAAAACAUAAAGCGUAAAAAUUAAUGCCCCUGCUCAAAUGCCAUGAAGACCAAUGGAGCUCAGAGGAAAGAGCAUUUCUACAGAUAUAAAACUGGUCCCGUAACUGGACUUUGUCAGUUGGUAAUGUUCAGCAUACGGCCCUUUGUUUCACAGGUCUUUGAUUUAUACCAGUGGGCCAAUUUUGGGGAUUUUAUUUUCCAAGGUAAAAUUAAAGAGACAAGGAGAAUGAAAAUGGACUCUAAACUCUUUACACACAAAAAGUUAUUCAAGUGAUGAAGGCAUCAUUACUGCCGAAAACAGGCAGACAGCUUUGAGCUUUUGUGAAGAUGUUUUUUGCUACAGUAUUUGUGUUUUAUUGAUUCUUGCUACUUCUGCGUGGAAAAUUAGAUAUUUGCUCUGCUUACUAUUAAACAAGUAAUCAUGUCACAGACCAUACUCAAAAAAAGUAUUUGCCUUUUCUAGUACUUUUCUGUAUUCCCAAUAUAUUUCCAAACCGGAAACCUUUGCUUUUACUGGAAAACAACAUGGUUAAAAUGCCUUCAAUUAAAAUAUUAUAAUUAGCAAUUAAUCUCUUAAGCAGCACAGUAGCACUUAUUCAGACAGCUAAACAACAGCAAUAAAAAUACUCUCUAGACUAUAAAAGGCUUUUAAAUACAAUCAUCUCAAAGCACUUUGAACAAAACAGGACGUAGAAUAAAAAUUAAAUCAAAAUUACAAACCUGCACAUUGAAGAACAAUCAAACACAGAAGCAUCAAAGAAUGAAAGCGCAUCUGUAAACUUGCUGCUGUUGUCUCCAGAACAUGCACGGAGCUUUGGUUUUGGCUGAAAAACAAAGUAUAUCUCCAAGCAUGUCAGUACUGUAAAUCUAUUGAAUUAAAGUAGAGCUAAAACGUUCAAAACAAUUUGAACAGCACAUCAACAAUCAUUUGAAUUGGAAAUGUUGUUUGAAGGAAAGGUCAGUUCUCAACAGUUAUAUCUUGGGCUCAUGGAGGACACAAUAGGUGGACAGAGUUGUUUUCUUUGAUUUGUUAUUUUGUUUUAAUCAGUGAUAGUCCAGAACAAUACUUACAGACUACGGGACCGUUGACUUGAAUUACAAACUAAUCAGGUCGGCAGUAGCUUCUCUCUCAGCAAAGGUUACCUGAUAAUAAAAGUUAAUGCAAUGCAAGAAGACAAAAGAAUGCAUUUUACCUUAAUAGGGCUUAAAAUGUUUUGUGAUCUAAACACUCAAAAUUACAUUUUUAUGUCAUCUUUAAACCAGCAGAUAAGAAACCUUUGUUCUAUAAUUUAUAUAGAUGCCUGUACUGGUUACAUGAUGAAACCUGUUCACUUUCAUGGUCAGUGUUCAAAAUGUUAAUGAAUUCCCUUGGAACUAUGCCUGUGUUGUAUUUCUGGGAUCCUGUCAUCUGCAAUCUGUUAUUCUGCAUAGAGAAUUAUGAAUGUAUGGAAGAGAUUACCUACAUAUACUGUGCAGGUACAAACACUAAGGUCUUUUCAAAUUAUAUGCUUGAUGCUACAAUGGAAUAGCUUAGUCGUGUGUAGGCAAAUGACUAGCUCUUAUACAGUAGGAUAAAUGGCCUGCACUUGCAUUUACAUUUACUUAUGUUCUAAUAAGGGUGUUUACAAUACUGUAAGUAAACUAGGAAGAUCCUAAAGAUGGGAAUGCCAUUGUUUGCUUCAAAUACAGCUCAGAGCAAGAGGGCUCACGUCUGUAGUUGGACCAAGUACCGGUCUUAAAGAUGGCUGACCCUGAGCAGUCGUGACCGAACAAUGAGGUUCACAGAGCGAAUUUGGCAUGGAAAGACACCAGCUGUACCUUAUCUCCAGCUCAUGGGUACAGACCCAUUGGCAUUUCGUGGAAAUGGGUGGCUAAGGUGCAAUGCCCGUCCGGACAUUCAAGAUGGGCACUGACCUCUGUAGUGAGAAUGCACGCUGCAGUGAAGGAAAGAUGAGGCAAAGUAUGUGAAACAUUCUGCCACCGCAGACCAACUCAGCCUGUUCCUGACAAUUCUGCACAAAACUGCCCGUGGCCACUGAGCACCUGCUGGAGAGUGAGCUCACAAGUAUAGUUCAGAAAGGGAUUCCCGGAAAACCAAAGGCUACAGAAGAAAACCUCAUUUCCUGUCCUGAGGUUUGUGCACUCUCCUCUUCUUGAACCUCACAGAGCGUCUUAAAUAAUGUUUGAUCUUAUGCACCGAUUUAAAAGUUUAUUUCUGCUGACGACCCUCUGCAACCCCUGGGUGUUGUGCACUGCUGCAGAAACAAGAUGCCUUUAGACGACACCUGGGAAUCCGGUGGCCACUGAGACUCAGCCUACUUCAUAUGCAGAGCAUUACAAUGCACUGAGGUCCACUACUGAAGGCAUUCUUUGAUGAUGAAGUACAAAGGUUGCUGUUCAAAGAUCCCAUUCCUGAUUUUAACCUUGUCCGUCUUGGAUGGAUCUCCCGGCUCCUGGACCUUGGAUUGUGCCCCGGAUUUCCCUCUUGGACUGUUUGGACUCGUUUGCCUACGCCACGCCCCCCGAGCACCAGAUCACCGUCGUCACGCCCCCCUGUCUGUCCUCCCGUCCUGAACCUCACCCUGUUUUCCCUGUUGUCCUUCUCCACUUACUUCCGGAUUAUACCGUCUGCAUAGGGUCCUGAACUACGCUUCAUGUAGCUCAUCCACAUGGGCUCAUCGUACAGGCUCAUCUGAGAGCUAGGACAUGAUCCAAGGUUCUCAGCCAGGCAUGGCUUGAAAGACACCAGGACCCAUGGCUGGGCAGCUUGUUCCAGACUCCCACAACUCUCUGAGUAAAGAAGUGCUUCUUGUUCUUGGUUUUAAAUGCACUAUCACAUUGUAGUGGCCACCUGAGUGCUCUGGCUUGUAUUUCAGUUUUCAAAUGAAGGGGUCUGCUGGGAUGACUUUAUCAAUGCCUUUGAAGAUUUUGAAUCCUAAUAUCACUGACAACAUCUCUGGUACAACAUCCAAAAAACAUUAAACAAAAACACCAGCAUUCCUGAUUCAAUUUUUUGGAAGUGUGAUCAUAGACAGUGUGGUAAUUUUUUUAUAUGUUUAGUGAUUUGUGAUUGUAAUUGAGCUCCUUGACAAGUCUUUGAAUCUGCUGGUCUGAACGAUGUGUUAUGUGUUAAAGAUGAGCAUGCUGAUUAAGCAUUGUUUCAGAUGAGAUGUCCCCAACCUUGAGCCUGAAAAAUCCCAGUCCUUUAAAAUCACAAUCAACUCAACUAAUUAAUCAGUACUGGAUACAAAUUAAAAGAAUAAAAGACAAAUUAAAGGACCAUCAUUUUGCUGGGACGCAAACCAGAAGCUGCUUCUGAUCAGUGUGAAUAAAUGUGGAAACACCUCCUUCAGAGAACGAGCUUUGCACAGCUUCUUGUCCAGUGUGCUAUGUGAUACUUAGUGCAAUACACUUCAAAACCA